AUGCCACAGCCGGGGGUGUUGGAUGGCGGCGGCGGUGGGGGGGGGCUGGGCCACAGCGCUGCCUACAUUACUGGCACCCGGUCCGCUGUUGGGCCCCGUUUGCUGGAUGAGGCUGCAGCUGCCCAUUCCCGCCGAGGACGUGAGGCUGGGGGCCGGCACAAAAGAGCAGCUGUUGGACUGCGAGGACGACGGGGUGGCCGAGCUCGAGGAGGAGGAAGAGGCCGUGGUCGCCCCCGCGUGGUCUCCCCCUCUGUUCCCGGUCCCCCCACCUCCGCCCAUGGUAGAGUCGUAGCUGCUGGGGUUGUCGUAGUUCUCUGUAGUGCUCUCUAUGCUGCCGAGGUCACUGAAGCCGCUGUCCACCACCUGCUGCGAGUGGUCAGACACGGACGGCACGUCCAUCAUGGGCGACGUCUCCAUGUUCUGCUGCGACGGGGCGGACAGCGAGCUGGGGUGUUCCGGCGUGAUCUGGGUGUAGCCCCCGCCGGUUCCUCCACCACUUCCCGCUGCCCCAGUAGGGCCAGGCGUGCCUCCCCUCUGCCCCGCAGCCGUCGUGUCCAUGAUGCCCGAGGGCAGCCCCGGACUGUUCACCGAGCGCACCGAUUGGCUGGGGAGAGGCGGCACUGUGGGAUUAGGAAGGGGGCUGCUGUGCUGCGAGGCGCCACACUCCUCCACCAAGGCCAGCGCCUCGUCCUCGGCCUCCCCCGCGUGGCUGUAGCUCUGCAGGGUGCGGCAGGCGGCCAGGGUCUCCUCGCAGUCCUGGUAGGCGCCGUGGUGUGGCUGGGGCUCGGCCUCCUCGUCCUGGGCCUCCCCCUGGGUCAGGGACUGGACGGCCUGCAUGGUCUCCAGGUCCAGCUCGUUGGAGUGGUGAUGGGAGUGGUGCGGGUGGUGGUGGCCCAGCUCCUCUUUGAAGUCGGGAUGCUGGCUGGGGUGGGAGUGUGGAUGCGGGUGCUGCGGUUCCAUCAACAGCGUGACGUCCUUGUCGUCCGGGUGCAGCGACUGGAGCUCCAUUGGCUCAGAGGGACCCGUGACCGUUUCCACCGCCGCAGCCGCCGCCGCCGACUCCUCCUGCUCGCGGCGCCGCCUCUCCUCCUGCCGGGGGUCGGCCGAGGGGGGCCGACACUUGGCCUCCUGCGUUGUCGUCGUUGUCUCCUCCUCAGCCUCCUCCUCCUCUUCUUCCUCCUCCUCCUCUUCCUCCUCCUCCUCUUCCUGCUUGCUGACGUCUCGGGUCACGCUGUUCUCCAUGUCUAA
ensembl:lncRNA